rnacentral:rRNA from 1 species
UACGAAGGGGGCUAGCGUUGUUCGGAAUCACUGGGCGUAAAGCGCACGCAGGCGGAUCGUUAAGUCAGGGGUGAAAUCCCGAGGCUCAACCUCGGAACUGCCUUUGAUACUGGCGAUCUUUGAGUCCGGGAGAGGUGAGUGGAACUCCGAGUGUAGAGGUGAAAUUCGUAGAUAUUCGGAAGAACACCAGUGGCGAAGGCGGCUCACUGGUCCAUAACUGACGCUGAGGCACGAAAGCGUGGGGAGCAAACAGG